ACAACUCUAGAGGAAAAGCUGGGCCGGAAAAGUGGGAACCUCUAGGGCGCCGCCCUGUUGCUACUGGUCAAUGUGGCCAGCGCAAUUACUAUUGAAAGAGCUGAAAACAAGUACAGGUCACCGUAUGCUUUGUCAUCUAAAAACGCAUACCUGAGGUUUUAUGAAGGUGGUGGGUUAAUAUUAAGUUUACAGAAAGCGAUCACUAAGUCCGUGACUUAUGUAAAUCACGAACUACGCAUUCAUUUAAUAAAGGAUGACGCGAAUUUCGGUUUCGAAUCUGUUUUUUGGAUGCGUAGUAGUUUCGUACAGUUUAGGUUUGACAUGCGAUCGCGCGUCGACAUCGGACGCUAUGGCACACUCGUGCCUUCUGUGCCACCGAAGCCCCGAAGUGCCCAGGCAUAUACCUUCACAUGUUUCCCUUCAGUAGGAAAUUGCUGGACAGGCGGACCAGCGCACCGGAAUUGUACUGGCGAAGCCACAAGCAACUCAAAGAAUCUGUUUAAUUGUUGCACUUUGAACAAUCAUGCUUCUACAAAGGCCACAGCAGAAAAACAGCCUGAUGCCGAGUAUUUCUGUGCCACGAAGUAAUCAAGAGGCGAGUGCCUAAUGCGGACGAAAUCGAGUGCAUCGAGACUUAGAACGACAGAAAGCUGAGCUAGUUGAUAUGCAAUGGCAAGCCCUUCCGUGUGUUCCAAAGGUAAAAUUUAAGCUCGAAAUUAAAGAAGACAUUUCUAGUCAGAAACAAGCAAAAAUGGUGAAUGCAGAGUAUCAGAAGCCCAAGGUACAGAAAUUAUGAGAAGUGUCGAAUGAUUUUAAGGAAAGAAUGGUAUUUGAAGAUGCAAGAUUCUUUAGUGGAAAUCAAGCAAGUCAGUAUAGGUAGAAUACUCUGAGAAAUUAUGCGAGUAAUGGGAUAGCUCACAAUGGGUCAGGAAAUGCAUUGUUUUUCUGAAAAACUAAAGCUGAUGACUGUAAUAUCAUGAGUCACUUUAGCAUCAUGAGACUGCUGUUUGAUAAAUUCAGAAACAAACCAAAAAGCAAGCCAUGCAAAAAUAAAAAAAAAAACUAUUUAUUGAUGCUCUCUCCACACUGGGAUAAAUAAUAAAUGGAUCACGUCUAAUGUGAACAUAUCAGACACCUUGUGAAACACUAAAGGAAAAAUUCAGUUUCGAGCUAUGGCACUUGCCGCAUAGAUGUGGGGGGCCUUGCACCAAUAGUAAUAGUUACCACUGCAUCUAGAAAUUUAAAGCAUUCAUGCAGACAAGGAUGAUUCUUUAUAUUUUUGGCUACCACUUCAAAUGCCUCCACUAAGUGUUACAAUGCUGCACGCAGCCAUACUAAGGAUCUCACAGCAACACUUGCUGGUAAACAGCAAAAGCAGUCAAAGUGCUGGUGUAUUCUGGACACUGUCUUUGAAAACUUUUAGGCAAGAACAGUACAAGAAACAGACAUAAGAACUGCAUUUAUUUCUAUAAUUCCCCAUUUGAAUGGCCUUUUCUUUUUCCUUCGACAAUGCCUUCGCCUAGCCACAGCAGCUCCCUCAUACAGACUCCGCAAGCCAAGAGGCCGUGGAGGCAAAUGCAGACAGCCAGCACACCUCGAACAGCCACCUUGACUGCGGGUGUGUCACCCUAGUCGCCAAGGAAACAUUUGAGGGAAAGCGACAGGCAAUGUGAACAGCCACUUCUCCAUGUAAACGAUACUCUUUCUCUCGGAUGACUCCUACGUUCGCCACGCCAGCACACUUGUGCACAAAGAUGCCGCGGAGGCACGUGCAGGUCAGAGGCAAGAAGCAGUGGCACUGGUGUCGACAUUCGCCCAAUUUCUUUUUCUUACACUGAGGCAGCCAGCACACCUCGAACAGCCACCUUAACUGCGGGUGUGUUAGUAGAUUCCUGUUGUACAUAUGCUCAUAAUAAACUUCAGUAAACUUUAACUUGAUAAUAAACUUGAAGGCAAAUGG